rnacentral:snRNA from 1 species
GAUUGGGGCAUCUGGCUGCACCAUCUGUCACCCCAUUGAUGGCUCCAGGGUUGAUCUGGCUGAUCUGGCUGGCCAGGUGGGUAUACCCUUCCUCCCUCACCACUCUUGUGCAUCCCUCUGGAAACUGCAUGCUUGGUUGAAGAGGACGACCAUCCCUGAUAGAGGAGGACUGGUCUUCAGUCAAGGGUACACAAGUAGCUGCACUCCCCUGCUAGAACCUCCAAACAAGCUCUCGAGGGCAAUAAAAUAUUUUUAAACUAAGUCAUGUACAUUGUUUUUUAGACAUAAUGCUACUGUAUGUUUAACAGA